AAAUUUCAUCGUGAUGGGGAUAGAUCAUUGCAAAUUGUUGGUCUUCAACGAGGAAUGCCUAGUAAGCGCGAGUCAUCAGCUCGCGUUGACUACGUCCCCUGCCCUUUUGUACACACCGCCCGUCGCUCCUACCGAUUGAAUGGUCCGGUGAAGUGUUCCGGAUCGCGGCGACGGGGGCGGUUCGCCGCCCCCGACGUCGCGAGAAGUCCAUUGAACCUUAUCAUUUAGAGGAAGGAGAAGUCGUAACAAGGUUUCCGUAGGUGAACCUGCGGAAGGAUCAUUGUCG
rnacentral:rRNA from 1 species